rnacentral:rRNA from 1 species
UACGGAGGGUGCAAGCGUUAUCCGGAUUCACUGGGUUUAAAGGGUGCGUAGGCGGGCAGGUAAGUCCGUGGUGAAAUCUCCAAGCUUAACUUGGAAACUGCCAUUGAUACUAUCAGUCUUGAAUACCGUGGAGGUCAGCGGAAUAUGUCAUGUAGCGGUGAAAUGCUUAGAUAUGACAUAGAACACCAAUUGCGAAGGCAGCUGGCUACACGAAUAUUGACACUGAUGCACGAAAGCGUGGGGAUCAAACAGG